ensembl:Y_RNA Y_RNA Y RNA
AGCUGGCCUGAGUGCAGUGGCAUUUACAACUCAUUGAUCACAGCCAGUUAGAGUUCUCUGUUCCUUCUCCACAUCCACUGUUUUAUUUGGCUACCCUUAA